AACGAACGCUGGCGGCAGGCUUAACACAUGCAAGUCGAGCGGGCGCUUUCGGGCGUCAGCGGCGGACGGGUUAGUAACGCGUGGGAACGUGCCCUUUGCUCUGGAAUAGCCCUGGGAAACCGGGGGUAGUACCGGAUGUGCCCUGGGGGGGAAAGGUUUUACCGGCAAGGGAUCGGCGCGCGUCUGUUUAGGUAGUUGGUGUGGUAAAGGCGCACCAAGCCGACGAGCGGUAGCUGGUUUGAGAGCAGGAGCAGCAACACUGGGACUGAGACACGGCCCAGGCCCCUGCGGAAGGCAGCAGUGGGUAAUCUUAGGCAAUGGGCGAAAGCCUGAUCUAGCCCGGCCGCGUGGGUGAUGAAGGCCUUAGAGGCGUAAAGCCCUUUCGCCGGGGAAGAUAAUGACGGUACCCGGUAAAGAAACCCCGGCUAACUCCGUGCCAGCCGCCGCCGUAA
rnacentral:rRNA from 1 species